GAGUUUGAUCCUGGCUCAGAUUGAACGCUGGCGGCAUGCCUUACACAUGCAAGUCGAACGGCAGCACGGGAGCUUGCUCCUGGUGGCGAGUGGCGAACGGGUGAGUAAUGCAUCGGAACGUAUCCUGGAGUGGGGGAUAACGUAGCGAAAGUUACGCUAAUACCGCAUAUUCUGUGAGCAGGAAAGCGGGGGACCUUCGGGCCUCGCGCUCUUGGAGCGGCCGAUGUCGGAUUAGCUAGUUGGUGAGGUAAAGGCUCACCAAGGCGACGAUCCGUAGCAGGUCUGAGAGGAUGAUCUGCCACACUGGAACUGAGACACGGUCCAGACUCCUACGGGAGCAGCAGUGGGAAUUUUGGACAAUGGGGGCAACCCUGAUCCAGCCAUGCCGCGUGAGUGAAGAAGGCCUCGGUGUAAG
rnacentral:rRNA from 1 species